rnacentral:sRNA from 1 species
GCUGGGCAUGGUGGCAUAGGAGUGUAGUCCCAGUUAAUCAGGAGGCUGAGACAAGAGGAUCUCUUGAGCCCAGGAGUUCCAGUUGCCCCAGGCAACAUAUAGAGACCCUGUCUCUU